rnacentral:rRNA from 1 species
AGCUCCAAUAGCGUAUAUUAAAGUUGUUGCGGUUAAAAAGCUCGUAGUUGGAUUUCUGUGGCGGGCAGCCGGUCCACACUACGUGUGAGUAUCUGGUUCGGCCGCUGCAUCCUUCUGGAGAACUUGAGGCGCUUCACUGCGUCUUGUGGUAUCCAGAACUUUUACUUUGAGGAAAUUAGAGUGUUCACGGCAGGCGUUUGCCAUGAAUAUAUUAGCAUGGGAUAAUAAUAUAGGAUGCUUUGCCUAUUUUGUUGGUUUCUAGGCGGAGCAUAAUGAUUAGUAGGGACUGUUGGGGGCACUCGUAUUAUGACGUCAGAGGUGGAAUUCUUGGAUUGUCUUAAGACGAACUACUGCGAAAGCAUUUGCCAAGGAUGUUUUCAU